UUGAUUCAUCGUCAGUUCGUCAGACUCUUAUCACAAUUUCCUUCUCCCGGUCAGGUGCACUUUGCCUCUUUUUUGUCUUGGUCAUGUUCACCUGACAAUCACAACUCACAACUUCAUGCAAAUCAAAACAAAAAAAAAAUCACUUGGUUUCUUCAGGAACCAAACCAUGAAAAUUGAGAUGAAAUUUCUGGCCUUGUUGUCUACUGAUAGCAAGAAGCAUCAGACGCUGAUGUGGACAGGCAGAAGAACUGACCUUCUUCUCCUUCUCCUUCUAUUCCUUCGCCGUGCUGGCGCUGUUGUUCUGCCUACUCUUUGUCAGUACAGCAAUAGUGCACUACAGGUACAUAUGUGGUGCACUACAGCUCGUCAAGCUGGAAUGACAAAAAAAAAAGCGUGAACUUUUGAGGGGCAUAAGAAAGUCUAACAUUUUUUUGCUGUACAAAGCAGAAGGCAAUCAAUCAGGCAGCUCACCUGAUUUCUCCUACGCUAAUCAGGUCCAGUGAUUUGGAGAAUUUCCUGGCAGCAACAAGCCAGCAACUCGGCGGAAUUUUAGGAGAUAAUUCUCGCUGAUUAGUCUGCGACGCAACGAGGGACUUACGAGGUGACCGGAGACACCAUGGCCUUCCGUUCGCUGUUGUGCUCCCAUGAGCAGAGAGAGACCGACCGGAUACGGAAGAAGGACGAGAAGCAUAGCAGAAUUAAUCGUGACGGACAACAAGCAUCCGAAAUUAGGAGUGCUGGCAGUGCAUGAAAGCGGCAAGUUUAAUACUAGUAGUACUCAUUUCACACCGCUCCCGCUUUAUAUGCACGGAAGGGGACAACCCGAUCGAUCGGAAACAGAUCCUAUGCGAUUUUGCGGGGAUGGUAUGCAAGUCUAACAUCCAACGAGCCCAUAUGUUAGUGAUCCACAUUAAAGAGGAAGAGACUCAUCCUGAUCGAUCAGUGCUGAAAACAGAAGCAUAAGUCCAUCGGAAAUCUCGGUAAGAUAUAUGCCCGGCAGGCGAGGCCAGUGUGAAAACUAGGGUCGCCAAACGCCAUGAUGCCAUAUGCUUGCUUGUAUGCCCAAGCAAAGCGGCUUGUACGACAGGCCGAGGGCAGCGUCGGGGGCAACCAAAACCUACCAACGGCCAACGCAACGCAAGCAGCACAGGAGAAGCAAGCACAAGACUCGACCGGCUCUGCCUACGCGACAGAUAUCCAUACGCCUCCUCCGGUCGGCUUCGCGUGCAAAUAUAUGUCGCGAGCCAAGAACCAAAGCGCAAGCUGCCUUAGCUUCUCGUCUCCUUCCACCGCCGGCAACACGUCACAGGUGCGCGCGGCGCAUCCAUAAGCG
rnacentral:lncRNA from 1 species